CCUACGGGAGGCAGCAGUAAGGAAUAUUGGUCAAUGGAGGCAACUCUGAACCAGCCAUGCCGCGUGCAGGAUGACGGCCCUAUGGGUUGUAAACUGCUUUUAUACAAGAGAAAACCCUGGUACGUGUACCAGGUUGAUAGUAUUGUAAGAAUAAGCAUCGGCUAACUUCGUGCCAGCAGCCGCGGUAAGACGAAGGAUGCAAGCGUUAUCCGGAUUCAUUGGGUUUAAAGGGUGCGUAGGCGGACUGAUAAGUCAGUGGUGAAAUCUCUUUGCUUAACAAGAACUGCCAUUGAUACUGUCGGUCUAGAGUAUAGAUGACGUUGGCGGAAUAUGACAUGUAGUGGUGAAAUACUUAGAUAUGUCAUAGAACACCGAUUGCGAAGGCAGCUAACGAAACUAUAACUGACGCUGAGGCACGAAAGUGGNGGAGUACACAGAUAGUAUACCUACGUAGUCGCACGUAACGA
rnacentral:rRNA from 1 species